GAAACGCGAUAGUUAAUGUGAAUUGCAGAAUUCAGUGAAUCAUCGAGUCUUUGAACGCACAUUGCGCCCAUAGGUACUCCUUUGGGCAUGUCUGUUUGAGCGUCAUUACAACCCUCAGCUAACCGCUGGUUUUGAACCUGAACGGGUGACACCGCGCCGGUUUUAAAGUUGUAAGCUCUGCUGGCCGCUCUGCCCAACCAGAACAUAGUAAGCACUACUUGUCCGGGUGAAGCUGAACGGUACGGCCUGAACAAAACCUACCCACUCUCAAGGUUUGACCUCAGAUCAGACAAGGAUACCCGCUGAACUUAAGC
rnacentral:misc_RNA from 1 species